rnacentral:ncRNA from 1 species
AUACAGCUCUCCGAUCUUGAUGUUCUAAGGCUUAGGCUAUGAAGAUCAAGACGAUGGGUCCGUCUAGAAAUUGACGUGCCUCCCUUUUGGAAAGGAGAUAAG